rnacentral:rRNA from 1 species
UACGGAGGAUUCAAGCGUUAUACGGAUUUAUUGGGUUUAAAGGGUGCGUAGGCGGUCUGAUAAGUUAGAGGUGAAAUCCCGGGGCUUAACUCCGGAAUUGCCUCUGAUACUGUUGGGCUAGAGAGUAGUUGCGGUAGGCGGAAUGUAUGGUGUAGCGGUGAAAUGCUUAGAGAUCAUACAGAACACCGAUUGCGAAGGCAGCUUACCAAACUAUAUCUGACGUUGAGGCACGAAAGCGUGGGGAGCAAACAGG